rnacentral:rRNA from 1 species
GAUGAACGCUGGCGGCGUGCCUAAUACAUGCAAGUCGAACGGGAAGUAUUAAUUUCGAUUUUUACUUCUAGUGGCGAACGGGUGAGUAACGCGUUGGUGACCUGCCCCGAAGAGGGGGGAUAACUCCGCGAAAGCGGAGCUAAUACCCCAUGUGGUCUUUCAGGUUAGAGUCUGGAUGACUAAAGGAGCAAUCCACUUCGGGAGGGGCCUGCGUCCCAUCAGCUAGUUGGUAAGGUAACGGCCUACCAAGGCGAUGACGGGUAGGGGACCUGAGAGGGUCGGUCCCCCACACUGGCACUGAAACACGGGCCAGACAUCUACGGAUGGCAGCAGUAGGGAAUAUUGCACAAUGGGCGAAAGCCUGAUGCAGCAACGCCGCGUGCGCGAAGAAGGCCUUCGGGUUGUAAAGCGUCUUUUCUGGGGGAAGAGAAAGGACGGUACCCCAGGAAUAAGUCUCGGCUAACUACGUG